AGCGGAUUGGCGCAGUUUGGUAGCGCGCCUGGUUUGGGACCAGGAGGUCGCAGGUUCGAAUCCUGUAUCCGCUACCA
rnacentral:tRNA from 1 species